GAUGAACGCUGGCGGCGUGCCUAAUACAUGCAAGUCGAGCGAACGGACGAGAAGCUUGCUUCUCUGAUGUUAGCGGCGGACGGUUGAGUAACACGUGGAUAACCUACCUAUAAGACUGGGAUAACUUCGGGAAACCGGAGCUAAUACCGGAUAAUAUUUUGAACCGCAUGGUUCAAAAGUGAAAGACGGUCUUGCUGUCACUUAUAGAUGGAUCCGCGCUGCAUUAGCUAGUUGGUAAGGUAACGGCUUACCAAGGCAACGAUGCAUAGCCGACCUGAGAGGGUGAUCGGCCACACUGGAACUGAGACACGGUCCAGACUCCUACGGGAGGCAGCAGUAGGGAAUCCUCCGCAAUGGGCGAAAGCCUGACGGAGCAACGCCGCGUGAGUGAUGAAGGUCUUCGGAUCGUAAAACUCUGUUAUUAGGGAAGAACAUAUGUGUAAGUAACUGUGCACAUCUUGACGGUACCUAAUCAGAAAGCCACGGCUAACUACGUG
rnacentral:rRNA from 1 species